rnacentral:lncRNA from 1 species
GAAUCAUGAGGAUAUGAAGGAUAGGAUGGCGUAGGGUAAGCUGAGGCUGGUGGUGGGUAAGGAGCUGCUGCAGCUGGUGGUGGGUAAGGAGCUGCUGAGGUUGGUGGUGGGUAAGGAGCUGCUGAGGUUGGUGGUGGGUAAGGAGCUGCUGAGGUUGGUUGAGGGUAAUAAGCUGAUGGAGGGUACGAGGCUGGUCGCAGGUAAGAGUAUGCAGAUGGUUCUGGUACAGGCGAUGCUGCAUAUGGUGGGACUGAUGGGGCAUAAUUCUUUGGUGGCUUCUGUGACUGCACAAGAAUUCAACAAUUACAUCGCUUCAGUUAUAGAUUAAUCUUCAAG